ensembl:lncRNA novel transcript
GGAAGGGAGGAAGCGUAGAAGGUGCCGAUGCACUUUUCCUCUCUCCAGCCCUCCUGACUGCUCCAAGAAUUUCAUCGAACAAGACUCAAAGAGGCCCAGCUGCUCUGCGUUUUGAUUCUUCUCCCUCUCUCAGUCCACACUGACCUGGGAGGGGCUUCUCAAACACCACAUUUCCUAGCGUGCUGUGAGAAGAGGACUGUGAGCUAAGAAGGGAGAAAAGACGCAUCUUCCCUACAUUCACUUGGGGACAGAAGCCUAAUAUCACCCACUGCUCCCUCAGUGUGUUCAGUACCUACCUGACAACAUGGAGAGGCAGCCAGGAUGUCGUAGGUGUACAUAGUGCCCAGCUGGUGCCAGCUGCCAUCCC